AGCGAACGCUGGCGGCAGGCUUAACACAUGCAAGUCGAACGGGCAUCUUCGGAUGUCAGUGGCAGACGGGUGAGUAACACGUGGGAACGUACCCUUCGGUUCGGAAUAACUCAGGGAAACUUGAGCUAAUACCGGAUACGCCCUUUUGGGGAAAGGUUUACUGCCGAAGGAUCGGCCCGCGUCUGAUUAGCUUGUUGGUGGGGUAACGGCCUACCAAGGCGACGAUCAGUAGCUGGUCUGAGAGGAUGAUCAGCCGCACUGGGACUGAGACACGGCCCAGACUCCUACGGGAGGCAGCAGUGGGGAAUAUUGGACAAUGGGCGCAAGCCUGAUCCAGCCAUGCCGCGUGAGUGAUGAAGGCCUUAGGGUUGUAAAGCUCUUUUGUCCGGGACGAUAAUGACGGUACCGGAAGAAUAAGCCCCGGCUAACUUCGUG
rnacentral:rRNA from 1 species